rfam:Halothiobacillus neapolitanus c2, complete genome.
UAUUCGUCCCUUCGCGACAAUGCGCCGUGAACCCCGCCAGGCCCGGAAGGGAGCAACGGUAACGGUUGCCUUGGGUGCCGGAGAUCGGCGGGUGCGG